rnacentral:lncRNA from 1 species
AGUGCCUUAUAACAUGUCUUUAUAACUGGCUGUGUAAGAAUGAAGAAAAGCUGUCCAUCUUCUGAGAAGGAAGCAGCAUGUGCCAUCCUUCUGUCAGAAAACACCAAAGAGAUGAAGAAAUGAGAAAUCCAGAAACCAAAGACCUUGCUCUUUUGUCAAACAGACUUGGUAGAGCAGAGUUGCAAAAUCAGACCUUUGGGGGCUUGCGUGUUUCUCCUCUUACUCCCUGGUGUAGGUAACUGAGGCUCUGGCUUCCGCUGGGAGUGGGGGUGGGGGUGGGACAGUGACCCUUGCUGAUAUUUUGAAGUUCUAGAUCCUUGAAUUCAUCUCAUGAAUGGCUUUGGACUUACAGACACCCCCCCCCCCCCAGUAUAUAGUCCUUGUACCAUGUUUCUUUCCUUAGUAGGUCUGCUCAAGCUCUCUUAGACUGGUAUGGAGUGAGCGAAUCUUCUCUGGAAACAGUAUUAGUUGCUUUGCAUCACUGCAGUUACCAUGCUGGUAGAAACAACUUAAGAGAGGAGGAGCUAGCUUUGACUCACAGUUUCUGAGGCUUUUCAGACUAGCAUAGCAGGGACAGCAUGAAAGAAUGGCUCCCUCUGUGGCAGCGGGAGCUCACAGGACAUUGGGCUGGGGGACAGAGAGAAUGCUGAUGCUUCUGAAAUUCGGCCCUUAGUAACUUCGGCCUGCCAGGCCCCAAUGGCAUUCUCAGCUGAGGAACAAACAUUGAAGUCAUGAACCUGUAGGGACAUUUCAGAUUCAAAGCACAAUAAAAAAAAACCAACUAGAUAAGUUUUAAUGUGUGAGAGACAGAGAGACAAAAAAAUUGAGGAAUCACAUCCUGUGUAGGUAUAGAAAAAAAAAUUCUUUUUUGAGACAAGGUCUCACUAGGUAGACCAGGCUAGCCUUGAACUCAGAGAUCCACCUGCCUUUACCUCUCAGAUUCUGGUAAAGAUGUUUUUAAAGAAAACUUGAAAUUCUUAUUGUAAUUACAAACCAUUUCCUAAGGUUUGUUUUAUACAUUCAGAGAUUUGCAUCAUAGGAAAGAGUUAUUUAAACUAAGUCUGUGCUUCUAAGGGGAACACGUAUUGAUUAGGUGACAAAACUGUAUCCUGCUUGAAUAUAACAGAAGCGUUAGCAGAGCCUGUCUGUGGUUCCUGUGUUUUGAGGUCCCUUACAGAUAGAUCUGAGACAGAGACCAGCUGAGUAACCUCUCUUGGGUCCAUCCUAGCUCUCAAAAGCUCCCUCUAUGUGUGUCUUGAGCUGACCCAAUAGCUCUGCAGCAGGGUCCCCAUUGGUCACCCUCUAUGGUCCCUGGAUCACAUGCAGGUAAUAAAUAACUACCCUAUGUUCUUUCUUCUUUCCUGCCCCAGAUUCUCUGGUCCACUUGAACCAUGCCUCUUUCAAGCAGAGAUUUGCUCUGUAUCAGCCAACUCUCUGCAAAUCAGCUGACUAAUGAUUUUCUAUCUUUAUUAUAAAACAACCUAGAAAAGUUUGUAGUUUACUGAGAAUCCCUCUGAGUCAUAUCUCAGAAAAAAAGUCCUCCACGAGCCAUUCUAUAUGAUUUUGGGUCAGAGGAGCCGCCUCUUCAUUCCUAAAAGCAGCUGGCUUUUAAUACCGUGGCUCUGGACCAGGAGACGGGUAGACACUCGGGCUUCCAAGGCAUUGUAGAGGAGCAGUCGAUGUUUGGCAUGUCACUUUUGUCAGCGAUUUGGUCAUCCCUGUAAAGAGAAGAUUAUAACAACUCUGUGUGUGUAUGUGUGCAUGUGUGUACACACUCAGCACCCUUUGCCCCCGGGGUUGUCUACAAAUCAAUGAGAUCAUCUAAGUGAAAUACUGUGUCUACUCAAUCGUAAGUUCCCUUUAUAACCGGAUUACACUUUCCAUGAGUCAUCUCGUACGUCAGUUCUUGGCAUAGCUGUCGUUAAUCCUACCAUGGUUUCUCUUUUUUCUCCUUUCUCGUUUCCUGGCAAAUGAUCAAGUUGGUCAUAUGCACAUCUCCCUAUGCCAUAUUUAAUACCUUUUUGGUUCCAGUUAGGUAUAUAAGCUCCCCCCCCCCAUCACUAGGGAGACUAGAACUCCCUCCCUCACUAGGAAUCAAUCAGAAUGUCUUCCAGUUGACAGCUGGAUAUCUGACAAGUGACACACUAUUGUUCAAUCUCUGUGCAGUCAUGGGGAAAAACCAAAGGAUGAACUGAGAAUCCAGAAUUGUGUGCUCCAGACUCCCACUGCCGUUGAUAUCUAAGGGGGCUCCAGGCUGUGUCUUUAAAAAAAUGUUGUCUUUGAAACCCACUCCUUCCCAAAUUUCUUCCCAAUUUAAAAAAAAAAAAUCACCGAUUUCAAUUUGGGCCGAUCACAUAAAUGUACCCAAAGGGGUAUGGGUGACCUGUGAGUGGCCACCUCUCCCCCAAGAAAAUUGUUUCUUCUUCCUCAGCAGUCAAGCCAUU